CAUUAGAAUCAGCCCAGCUGUAAUCACACGUUGGAUUGCUCUUAGGGUUUGAGAUGUUGUACGUCGUUGCUUUGCCCUGAUGGGUGACUGUGCACGUUCCACGCUAAAACUUACCGGUAAAUAAGGCUGGAAUGAAUAAAAAAAGCCACUUCAUUCCGACUCCAAAUUCGAUCCUUUGUGGUAUGGUCGUCUCGGGCUAGGUAUGACUCGGAGAGUGGUUAAUGUUCCACAGGUGGUUUAUUCUAA